UACGUAGGGGGCAAGCGUUUGUCCGGAUUUAUUGGGCGUAAAGCGCUCGCAGGUGGUUCGAUGCGUCGUGCGUGAAAGACCCCGGCUCAACUGGGGGGUGUCGUGCGAUACGGGCAGACUUGAGUACUGCAGGGGAGACUGGAAUUCCUGGUGUAGCGGUGGAAUGCGCAGAUAUCAGGAGGAACACCGGUGGCGAAGGCGGGUCUCUGGGCCGAUACUGACGCUGAGGAGCGAAAGCGUGGGGAGCAAACAGG
rnacentral:rRNA from 1 species